UACGGAGGGUGCGAGCGUUGUCCGGAAUUACUGGGCGUAAAGGGCUCGUAGGCGGCCAACUAAGUCCGACGUGAAAUCCCCAGGCUUAACCUGGGAACUGCGUCGGAUACUGGAUGGCUUGAAUCCGGGAGAGGGAUGCGGAAUUCCAGGUGUAGCGGUGAAAUGCGUAGAUAUCUGGAGGAACACCGGUGGCGAAGGCGGCAUCCUGGACCGGCAUUGACGCUGAUGAGCGAAAGCCAGGGGAGCAAACGGG
rnacentral:rRNA from 1 species